GCAUAUCAAUAAGCGGAGGAAAAGAAACCAACAGGGAUUGCCUCAGUAACUGCGAGUGAAGCGGCAAAAGCUCAAAUUUGAAAUCUGGCGCCUUCGGCGUCCGAGUUGUAAUUUGGAGGGGCAUCUUCGGGUUUGGCGCCGUCCUAAGUUCCUUGGAACAGGACGUCACAGAGGGUGAGAAUCCCGUGCCUGGGCGGCAGUCCAAAUCCAUGUGAAGUGUCUCCGACGAGUCGAGUUGUUUGGGAAUGCAGCUCAAAAUGGGUGGUAAAUUUCAUCUAAAGCUAAAUAUUGGCGAGAGACCGAUAGCGCACAAGUAGAGUGAUCGAAAGAUGAAAAGCACUUUGAAAAGAGAGUUAAAAAGUACGUGAAAUUGUUGAAAGGGAAGCGCUUGCGACCAGACUCGGUCUUUGGGGGUCAUCCGGGUUUCGGCUCGGUGCCAUCCCCAUUGAUCGGGCCAGCAUCGGUUCCGGCGGCGGGAUAAAAGGCGAGGGAACGUGGCUCUCUUCGGGGAGUGUUAUAGCCCUCGUCACAAUGCCGCCAGCUGGGACCGAGGACCGCGCUUCGGCUAGGAUGCUGGCGUAAUGGUCUUAAGCGACCCGUCUUGAAACACGGACCAAGGAGUCUAACAUCUAUGCGAGUGUUCGGGUGGAAAACCCUUGCGCGUAAUGAAAGUGAACGGAGGUGGGAACCCUUCGGGGUGCACCAUCGACCGGUCCUGAUGUCUUCGGAAGGAUCUGAGUAAGAGCAUAGCUGUUGGGACCCGAAAGAUGGUGAACUAUGCCUGAAUAGGGUGAAGCCAGAGGAAACUCUGGUGGAGGCUCGCAGCGGUUCUGACGUGCAAAUCGAUCGUCAAAUUUGGGUAUAGGGGCGAAAGACUAAUCGAACCAUCUAGUAGCUGGUUCCUGCG
rnacentral:rRNA from 1 species